rnacentral:misc_RNA from 1 species
UACGGAGGGUGCAAGCGUUAAUCGGAAUUACUGGGCGUAAAGGGCGCGUAGGCGGCUCGUCAAGCCGGAUGUGAAAGCCCCGGGCUCAACCCGGGAACGGCAUUCGGAACUGGCUGGCUAGAGUACAGAAGAGGAAAGUGGAAUUCCACGUGUAGCGGUGAAAUGCGUAGAGAUCGGGAGGAAUACCAGUGGCGAAGGCGGCCUUCUGGACUGACACUGACGCUGAGGUGCGAAAGCAUGGGUAGCAAACAGG